rnacentral:misc_RNA from 1 species
AGCUUGGUAGUGCAUACAAGGAUAUUGAUACAUCUUGAGCUUCUUCAAAUUCAACAUCAUCAUCCGGGGGAGUAGAAUCUUCCUCAGUAUUGAUAUCACAUUGGAUAUCAACAAAAGGAUUUGGAAAAAUGUCCAGUUGCAAUGUUUUUCCCACAACAAUUGCCAUUUCUUCAUAUAUCUCAAUUUUUUUGGGAAUACCUUGAAGAUUUCCCUCACAAGAGGUAACAAAUAUAGAAUGCCUAUUCUGGGAUAUGUUUUAACGACCUGCAGAAACAGAAUUCUUUAUGGUUCAGGAUUUUAUAUGAAACUCACAGCCAGAUCUCCAGAGUGUUUGUGUUCUAAUUUUUUGAAUUGGUUUCUUGAUAUUUUGUAAUAAUAGGCUUCCAAAGAUGUGGGAAGAGUUGCUGAUUGAGAUGGGCUAAUUAUCUUAUACGUGAUAUGAAGAUAGGAGAAUUCAGUAUAGAGGAGAAGCAAAUGUUCAUUCAACUUCAUGCUUCUCUAGGCAACAGAAUUGUUGCCCAAAUCGUUAAUGCUGAAGCUUUGAUGAAUGGAUUUAGCGAGGCUAACGUGUUUGCGUUUUUGCCUAUGAGAACUAAGUGGUAUGGAAAACUUUUGCUGGGUUGGACACAAAGCUGAUUCAUGACUACGAGUAAGCGUGUCCAAGACAGGAGCAGCAAAAAGAGAGUGCACGAUCUGGAGAUAGUGACAGAGAAGUGGAAAAUAGUGUCGAAGGUGAUGGCAGUUAUGGAAGUCUUGAAGUGGGAGGUUGAUAUGGUAAUCACUUUGAGAAAUCUUGAACAAUACAGGAACCGGAUCAAUCUACCUAAGCCCCAUAAAAUAUCUGUUUUUCUUUCGAAAUCUCCUAAGCUUUUCGAAUUAUAUAAGGAUCAAAGGGGAGUGUUAUGGUGUGGGAUGACAAAAGAAGCAGAGGAUUUACUGGAAGAACAGGAAAGGUUAAUUGAGGAGCAUUCUGAUAAAGCUGUGGAGUAUGUUAAUAGGUGUCUGAUGAUGUCUGUUGACAAACAGCUUCGGGUGGAUGAGAUUGCACAUUUCAGGAGAGAUUUUGGCUUGCCUAUGGGUUUUAGGACCAAAUGGGUGCAUAAAUAUCCCAAACUAUUCAGAGUUGUUAAAUCUGGAGGUGGAGAGGAGUAUUUGAAACUUGUAUCCUGGAAACCUGCUUGGGCAAUCAUAGAGUAAGAGAAGAAGAUAUUAGGGGCAACUGAAAUAAGUGUGCAUGAACCAGGAUUGCUUUCAUUGCCAUUUCUAUUGAAG